CGGGGCGGGAAGCAGCAGUACGGCUUCAGGCCAACCGAGCCCGUCGGCGGCGGCGGCGGCAGCAGGGGCGACGCCACAGUCGAUGUGCCCCUCGACAACAUGGGCGACUCGAAUGGCAAGGCGAGGGAGCUCUCGUCGUGGGAAUCAGAUCUGAGGCGGCGUGAGGCGGAUAUCAAAAGGAGGGAGGAAUUGCUCAAGAAUGGCG